AUGGCCGGCGAUGAUGAGCAGCGGCCGCUGCACAUCCUCUUCUUCCCGUUUCCCGCUCCCGGCCACCUCAUCCCGAUCGCUGACAUGGCGGCGCUCUUCGCGACUCGCGGCGCGAAGUGCACAAUCCUCACCACGCCGGUCAACGCUGCCACCAUCCGCCCGGCCGUCGACCGUGCCAACGACGCUCGCCGUGGAACUCCGGAUUCCCCGCCCCCGUCGGCGAUCGAGAUCUCCGUCGUGCCCUUCCCUGACGUUGGGCUCCCGCCGGGCGUCGAGAACGCCACGGGCCUUAGCGGCGACGCCGACCGCGACAAGUUCUUUCACGCGAUCCAGCAGUUCCGCGAGCCCUUCGAGCAGUUCUUUGCCGGCGAAUGCCCUGACGCCGUCGUCGCCGACAGCCACUUCCAGUGGUCCGUCGACGCUGCCGCGGAGCACGGCGUCCCGCGGCUGGCGUUCCUCGGCACCAGCAUGUUCGCGCGGGCCUGCACCGACAGCAUGCUGCGCAACAACCCGCUGGCGUCUUGCCCCGACGCCGUCGUCUCCCUGCCGGGGCUGCCGCACCGCGUCGACAUGUUACGGAGCCAGAUGGUGGACCCCUCCAAGAGGCCGGAGAGUUUCGCCUUCUUCCAGCGCGUGAACGCCGAGGACCAGAGGAGCUACGGCGAGGUGUUCAACAGCUUCCACGAGCUGGAGCCGGACUACGUCGAGCACUACCGCACGGCGCUCGGCCGCCGCGUAUGGCUCGUCGGGCCGGUCGCACCAGCAGGCGGAGAUAUGGGCGCGACCAAAGGCGCCACCAGCGAGCUCUCGUCCGACGGCGCCGGCUGCCUGCGGUGGCUCGACACGAAACCGGCCGGCUCGGUGGUGUACGUCUCCUUCGGCACGCUGUCCAGUUUCUCGCCGGCCGAGCUGCGCGAGCUCGCCCGCGGCCUCGACCUCUCAGGGAAGAACUUCGUGUGGGUCAUCAGCCACGCAGGCGCAGGAGCAGACGCCGACACCGAUGCGCAACCGGAGUGGAUGCCCGAAGGCUUCGCCGAGCUUACCGCGCCGCCGGGCGGGCGCGGCUUCAUCAUCCGCGGCUGGGCGCCGCAAACGCUCAUCCUGAGCCACCCGGCCCUCGGCGCCUUCUUGACGCACUGCGGCUGGAACUCGACGCUGGAGGCCGUGAGCGCCGGCGUGCCGAUGGUCACGUGGCCGCGCUUCGGCGACCAGUUCUUCAACGAGAAGCUCGUCGUGGAGGUGCUCCAGGUCGGGGCCAGCGUCGGCGCCUGCGACUACGCGUCGUUCAUGGAGACCCAUCAUGGCGUGGUCCGCGCCGAGGUGGUCACUGAAUCCAUCGGGACUGUGAUGGGCGACGGCGAGGAGGGCGAGGCGAUACGGAGCAAGGCCAGGGAGCUCGGUGUCAAAGCUAGGAGGGCAGUGGGCAACGCCGGGUCGUCGUACGGCGAUGUUGGGCGGCUGAUGGAGGAGUUGAUUGCUCGCCGACGGACUUAA
rnacentral:rRNA from 1 species